GACGAACGCUGGCGGCGUGCUUAACACAUGCAAGUCGAACGGAAAGGCCCUGCUUUUGUGGGGUGCUCGAGUGGCGAACGGGUGAGUAACACGUGAGUAACCUGCCCUUGACUUUGGGAUAACUUCAGGAAACUGGGGCUAAUACCGGAUAGGAGCUCCUGCUGCAUGGUGGGGGUUGGAAAGUUUCGGCGGUUGGGGAUGGACUCGCGGCUUAUCAGCUUGUUGGUGGGGUAGUGGCUUACCAAGGCUUUGACGGGUAGCCGGCCUGAGAGGGUGACCGGCCACAUUGGGACUGAGAUACGGCCCGACUCCUACGGGAGGCAGCAGUGGGGAAUAUUGCACAAUGGGCGGAAGCCUGAUGCAGCAACGCCGCGUGCGGGAUAACGGCCUUCGGGUUGUAAACCGCUUUCGCCUGUGACGAAGCGUGAGUGACGGUAAUGGGUAAAGAAGCACCGGCUAACUACGUG
rnacentral:rRNA from 1 species